rnacentral:rRNA from 1 species
AUUGAACGCUGGCGGCAGGCCUAACACAUGCAAGUCGAACGGCAGCACAGAAGAGCUUGCUCUUUGGGUGACGAGUGGCGGACGGGUGAGUAAUGUCUGGGAAACUGCCCGAUGGAGGGGGAUAACUACUGGAAACGGUAGCUAAUACCGCAUAACGUCGCAAGACCAAAGUGGGGGACCUUCGGGCCUCACACCAUCGGAUGGGCCCAGAUGGGAUUAGCUAGUAGGUGGGGUAAUGGCUCACCUAGGCGACGAUCCCUAGCUGGGCUGAGAGGAUGACCAGCCACACUGGAACUGAGACACGGUCCAGACUCCUACGGGAGGCAGCAGUGGGGAAUAUUGCACAAUGGGCGCAAGCCUGAUGCAGCCAUGCCGCGUGUAUGAAGAAGGCCUUCGGGUUGUAAAGUACUUUCAGCGGGGAGGAAGGCGGUGAGGUUAAUAACCUUGCCGAUUGACGUUACCCGCAGAAGAAGCACCGGCUAACUCCGUGCCAGCCGCCGCAGUAA